rnacentral:sRNA from 1 species
CAGCUACAUAAGCAGGGUGGGCGGUUGGCCACUUCCCGAUGGAGGGAGGUGGAAAAAAUGACGACGUAUGAAGCAUUAAGCUUAGUUGCUCAAUUUAGUUUAGUGCUAAUAGGAACGCUAACAAUGAUUAUCACGAUGGUCGUGUAUAUAAAAAAGAAAUAACCGUCCCCCCCUAGGCCAAAGGUGUGACGGUUAUUUCAAUCGCACUUAAAGGCUUGCCGCUCUUCUUGUGGCAUGUAGUUGCGCUGACCGGGUGUUUGUAACACCCGGU